rnacentral:rRNA from 1 species
GACGAACGCUGGCGGCAUGCUUAACACAUGCAAGUCAAGGGGUCGCAAGACCACUGGCGCACGGGUGAGUAACACGUAGGUGAUCUGCCCCCAUCACAGACAUAACCCCGGGAAACCGGGGCUAAUAUCUGAUGAGGCCGAGAGGUCAAAGCUUUAUGCGGAUGGGGAUGAGCCUGCGGCUGAUUAGCUAGUUGGUGAGGUAAUGGCUCACCAAGGCGACGAUCAGUAGCUGGUCUGAGAGGACGAACAGCCA